rnacentral:rRNA from 1 species
UACGUAGGGUGCGAGCGUUGUCCGGAAUUAUUGGGCGUAAAGAGCUCGUAGGCGGUUUGUCACGUCUGCUGUGAAAUCCCGAGGCUCAACCUCGGGCCUGCAGUGGGUACGGGCAGACUGGAGUGCGGUAGGGGAGAAUGGAAUUCCUGGUGUAGCGGUGGAAUGCGCAGAUAUCAGGAGGAACACCGAUGGCGAAGGCAGUUCUCUGGGCCGUAACUGGCGCUGAGGAGCGAAAGCGUGGGGAGCGAACAGG